CCUACGGGGGGCUGCAGUGAGGAAUAUUGGUCAAUGGGCGCGAGCCUGAACCAGCCAAGUCGCGUGAGGGAGUACUGCCCUAUGGGUUGUAAACCUCUUUUGUCGGGGAGCAAAAGCCGGACGUGUCCGGCUGUGAGAGUACCCGAAGCAAAAGCAUCGGCUAACUCCGUGCAAGAAGCCGCGGUAAUACGGAGGCUGCGAGGUUUAUCCGGAUUUAUUGGGGUUAAAGGGUGCGCAGGCGGAUUUUUAAGUCAGCGGUCAAAUCGUGGGGCUCAACCCCAUCCAGCCGUUGAAACUGGGGAUCUAGAGUGUGCGAGAGGUAUGUGGAAGGCGUGGUGUAGCGGUGAAAUGCAUAGAUAUCACGCAGAACCCCGAUUGCGAAGGCAGCAUACCGGUGCACAACUGACGCUCAGGCACGAAAGCGUGGGUAUCGAACAGGAUUAGAUACCCGGGUAGUC
rnacentral:rRNA from 1 species